rnacentral:rRNA from 1 species
CCUACGGGUGGCUGCAGUGGGGAAUAUUGGACAAUGGGGGGAACCCUGAUCCAGCCAUGCCGCGUGUGUGAAGAAGGCCCUCGGGUUGUAAAGCACUUUCAGUGAGGAAGAACGCCUGGUGGUUAAUACCCAUCAGGAAAGACAUCACUCACAGAAGAAGCACCGGCUAACUCCGUGCCAGCAGCCGCGGUAAUACGGAGGGUGCGAGCGUUAAUCGGAAUUACUGGGCGUAAAGCGCGCGUAGGUGGCUUGAUAAGCCGGUUGUGAAAGCCCCGGGCUCAACCUGGGAACGGCAUCCGGAACUGUCAAGCUAGAGUGCAGGAGAGGACGGUAGAAUUCCCGGUGUAGCGGUGAAAUGCGUAGAGAUCGGGAGGAAUACCAGUGGCGAAGGCGGCCUUCUGGACUGACACUGACACUGAGGUGCGAAAGCGUGGGUAGCAAACAGGAUUAGAUACCCUUGUAGUC